rnacentral:rRNA from 1 species
UGGGGAAUAUUGCACAAUGGGCGCAAGCCUGAUGCAGCCAUGCCGCGUGUAUGAAGAAGGCCUUCGGGUUGUAAAGUACUUUCAGCGGGGAAGAAGGUGUUGAGGCUAAUAACCUCAGCAAUUGACGUUACCCGCAGAAGAAGCACCGGCUAACUCCGUGCCAGCAGCCGCGGUAAUACGGAGGGUGCAAGCGUUAAUCGGAAUUACUGGGCGUAAAGCGCACGCAGGCGGUCUGUCAAGUCGGAUGUGAAAUCCCCGGGCUCAACCUGGGAACUGCAUUCGAAACUGGCAGGCUAGAGUCUUGUAGAGGGGGGUAGAAUUCCAGGUGUAGCGGUGAAAUGCGUAGAGAUCUGGAGGAAUACCGGUGGCGAAGGCGGCCCCCUGGACAAAGACUGACGCUCAGGUGCGAAAGCGUGGGGAGCAAACA